GGAAAACCCAUUACUUCUUGUUUCGUUAUCAGAACACGAUAGUUUGACAACACGCCGAUAACACCAAACAAAUUAUUAUGUCGGACAAGGAAGUCAAAAGUGGCCUUCGUAAACUAUUCACUGUCGUGACAUCGCCAAUAUGGGUACCAGUAGCAGCCGUUGGAGGUUUGGUGGCAGCACCAGUCCAAGCUAUAGGUGAUUCAAUAGACGAGGGUGAUAAAGCGAAUAGCGUUUAAAAGGCGUUGGCUCACUUCCAGGAAAUGUUGUUGGAAGGACCAUAACAAACCCUUUCAAAGCCAUCGGGAAAGUUGGCGAGGCCAUGUGGGAUGACGAAUAAAUGGAAGAUGUUGCAGAGCCCCAUACUGGAGAGGACAACUGACAUAUACGUAUGGAAAUAUGAAAGUGACCUAAGGCGAUAUUAAUAAAUCAGGAAAAUACCCUAUCGCCAAAAAUGCCGGAAGAUACUUUUUGUAUAAAAAAUAAUUUAAAAAAAAAUCAAAAAAAUCA